rnacentral:rRNA from 1 species
UACGUAGGUGGCAAGCGUUUGUCCGGAAUUAUUGGGCGUAAAGCGCGCGCAGGUGGUUUCUUAAGUCUGAUGUGAAAGCCCACGGCUCAACCGUGGAGGGUCAUUGGAAACGUGGGGAACUUGGAGUGCAGAAGAGGAAAGUGGAAUUCCAAGUGUAGCGGUGAAAAUGCGUAGAGAUUUGGAGGAACACCAGUGGCGAAGGCGACUUUCUGGUCUGUAACUGACACUGAGGCGCGAAAGCGUGGGGAGCGAAGAGG